GGAAGUAAAAGUCGUAACAAGAUCUCCGUUGGUGGACCAGCGGAGGGAUCAUUACCGAGUUUACAACUCCCAAACCCAAUGUGAACCAUACCAAACUGUUGCCUCGGCGGGGUCACGCCCCGGGUGCGUCGCAGCCCCGGAACCAGGCGCCCGCCGGAGGGACCAACCAAACUCUUUCUGUAGUCCCCUCGCGGACGUUAUUUUUACAGCUCUGAGCAAAAAUUCAAAAUGAAUCAAAACUUUCAACAACGGAUCUCUUGGUUCUG
rnacentral:misc_RNA from 1 species